rnacentral:rRNA from 1 species
CUACGGGAGGCUGCAGUGGGGAAUAUUGCACAAUGGGCGCAAGCCUGAUGCAGCCAUGCCGCGUGUAUGAAGAAGGCCUUCGGGUUGUAAAGUACUUUCAGCGGGGAGGAAGGGAGUAAAGUUAAUACCUUUGCUCAUUGACGUUACCCGCAGAAGAAGCACCGGCUAACUCCGUGCCACCGCAGCCGCGGUAAUACGGAGGGUGCAAGCGUUAAUCGGAAUUACUGGGCGUAAAGCGCACGCAGGCGGUUUGUUAAGUCAGAUGUGAAAUCCCCGGGCUCAACCUGGGAACUGCAUCUGAUACUGGCAAGCUUGAGUCUCGUAGAGGGGGGUAGAAUUCCAGGUGUAGCGGUGAAAUGCGUAGAGAUCUGGAGGAAUACCGGUGGCGAAGGCGGCCCCCUGGACGAAGACUGACGCUCAGGUGCGAAAGCGUGGGGAGCAAACAGGAUUAGAUACCCUAGUAGUC